UACGUAGGGCGCAAGCGUUAUCCGGAAUUAUUGGGCGUAAAGAGCUCGUAGGCGGUUUGUCGCGUCUGCCGUGAAAGUCCGGGGGCUCAACUCCGGAUCUGCGGUGGGUACGGGCAGACUAGAGUGAUGUAGGGGGAGACUGGAAUUCCUGGUGUAGCGGUGAAAUGCGCAGAUAUCAGGAGGAACACCAGCGGCGAAGGCGGCGCUCUGGGCCGGAACUGACGCUGAGGAGCGAAAGCGUGGGUAGCAAACAGG
rnacentral:rRNA from 1 species